rnacentral:rRNA from 1 species
GACGUAGGAGGCGAGCGUUGUCCGGAUUCAUUGGGCGUAAAGAGCGCGCAGGCGGCUUGGUAAGUCGGAUGUGAAAUCCCGAGGCUCAACCUCGGGUCUGCAUCCGAUACUGCCCGGCUAGAGGUAGGUAGGGGAGAUCGGAAUUCCUGGUGUAGCGGUGAAAUGCGCAGAUAUCGGGAGGAACACCGGUGGCGAAGGCGGAUCUCUGGGCCUUACCUGACGCUCAGGCGCGAAAGCUAGGGGAGCGAACUGG